GCGGACUAUCAGGUAGUAGUCAGGGUAAGGACCUGACUAGCAUACGACGGAUACGGGUUGUGAGAGCAAUAACCCGGAGAUGAUAUCUGAGACACGAUAUCAGGCCCUACGGGGCGCAGCAGGCGCGAAAACUUCGCAAUGUGCGAAAGCACGACGAGGGAAUCCCAAGUGCUGGCUCGUUAGAGUCAGCUGUUUUUAUGUCUAAAAAGCAUAGAGAGUAAGGGCUGGGUAAGACGGGUGCCAGCCGCCGCGGUAA
rnacentral:rRNA from 1 species